rfam:Treponema sp. JC4 contig00142, whole genome shotgun sequence.
GGGGAAUUAGCUCAGUUGGCUAGAGCGUCGGCUUUGCAAGCCGAAUGUCAGGGGUUCAAAUCCCCUAUUCUCCA